rnacentral:rRNA from 1 species
GAUGAACGCUAGCGGCAGGCUUAACACAUGCAAGUCGAGGGGUAGAGUUAGCUUGCUAACUUGAGACCGGCGCACGGGUGCGUAACGCGUAUGCAAUCUACCUUGUACAGAGGGAUAGCCCAGAGAAAUUUGGAUUAAUACCUCAUAGUAUUAUUGAAUGGCAUCAUUUGAUUAUUAAAGUUCCAACGGUACAAGAUGAGCAUGCGUCCCAUUAGCUAGAUGGUAAGGUAACGGCUUACCAUGGCAACGAUGGGUAGGGGUCCUGAGAGGGAGAUCCCCCACACUGGUACUGAGACACGGACCAGACUCCUACGGGAGGCAGCAGUGAGGAAUAUUGGUCAAUGGGCGCAAUCCUGAACCAGCCAUGCCGCGUGCAGGAAGACGGUCCUAUGGAUUGUAAACUGCUUUUAUACGGGAAGAAACCCUGCUACGUGUAGCAGCUUGACGGUACCGUAAGAAUAAGCAUCGGCUAACUCCGUGCCAGCCGCCGCGGUAA